rnacentral:lncRNA from 1 species
AUGAGCUUCGAUGUGGUGUCCCUUUUUACCAAAGUCCCAGUAGCUGACACCCUCGCACUAAUCAAACAAAACUUCCCAGAAGACAUCACAGCCCUGUUUCACCAUUGCCUCACCACUAGCUACUUUCAGUGGGACACUGGAUUCUAUGAACAGAAGGAUGGAGUGACCAUGGGGAGCCCUCUCAGGCUAGUAGUAGCAAAUUUCUAUAUGGAAUACUUUGAAAAACAGGCCCUAGAAACAGCACCAAAAAAGCCUACUGUUUGGUUCAGAUACGUAGAUGACACCUUCACAAUUUGGAGCCAUGGAGAGGAAGAACUCAGCAAGUUCCUGGACCAUCUUAACAUCCACCCAAACAUCCAAUUCACCAUGGAAAAAGAAAAGGAAGGAAAACUGCCAUUUCUAGAUGUUCUGGUCAUCCGCAAACCCAAUCAACAAUUGGGCCACACAGUUUACAGAAAACCUACACUCACGGAUAGAUACCUUCAUAAAAACUCCAACCAUCACCCAAGUCAAAAAAGGAGCACAAUCACAGCCCUGACAGACCGUGCACAAAGAAUCUGCGAACCUCACCUCCUCCAAGGUGAACUCAACCACCUAAACUGGGCUCUACAGGCCAAUGGAUACUCCACCACAGACAUCAGAAGAGCUGCAAGGCCAAGAACAAGCCUUGAGAGUCAAGACAAAGAUCCACCCAGAGGAAAGGUGGGAACCACUGACCGCAUAGGCAAACUGAUGAAGAAGAACAACCUACAAACUAUCUACAGACCCACAAAGAAAAUCCAACAAAUGCUACGGUCAGCGAAGGACAAGAGGGAUCCUCUCUCUUCUGCAGGAGUCUACCGGAUACCAUGCAGCUGUGGACAAGUCUACAUAGGGACCACCAAACGCAGCGCCCAAACAAGAGUCAAAGAACAUGAAAGGCACUGUAGACUAAUUCAACCAGAGAAAUCAGCCAUAGCAGAGCACUUGAUGAACCAGCCUGGACACAGGAUAUUAUUUGAGAACACAAAAAUGCUGGACCAUUCCAACAACUAUCAUGUCAGACUACACAGAGAAGCCAUUGAAAUCCACAAGCAUGUGGACAACUUCAACAGAAAGGAAGAAACCAUGAAAAUGAACAAAAUCUGGCUACCAGUAUUACAAAACUCCAAAAUCAAAACAGUAGAUGGGAACCAACACUCUGAGGGCUUGACUGAACAAAGGAUGCCCCCAGGCAAGAGACAAAACAUUUCCAAUGCUAAUUAG